GCCUCUGGCUGAACAUGGCACAAUGGGUUAGUGCGCCUGGCUGUUAAGCGGAAGGUUGGUGGUUCAAGCCCACCCAAGGAGGGCU